GUGAGGAAUAUUGCGCAAUGGAGGCAACUCUGACGCAGCCAUGCCGCGUGCAGGAAGAAGGCGCUACGCGUUGUAAACUGCUUUUAACCGGGAAGAAACCCCAGGACGUGUCCUGGGUUGACGGUACCGGAGGAAUAAGCACCGGCUAACUUCGUGCCAGCAGCCGCGGUAAUACGAAGGGUGCAAGCGUUAUCCGGAUUCAUUGGGUUUAAAGGGUGCGUAGGCGGAGCGUUAAGUCAGUGAUGAAAUCCUGCAGCUUAACUGUAGACUUGCCAUUGAUACUGGCGCUCUUGAGUGCGCUUGAAGUGGGCGGAAUGUGCCGUGUAGCGGUGAAAUGCUUAGAUAUGGCACAGAACACCAAUUGCGAAGGCAGCUCACUAAGGCGAUACUGACGCUGAGGCACGAAAGCGUGGGGAUCGAACAGGAUUAGAAACCCGUGUAGUCC
rnacentral:rRNA from 1 species